rnacentral:rRNA from 1 species
GGAAGCUGAUAAGGCGCGCGGCGGAUGCCUUGGAGCCGGAUGGCGAAGAAGGACGCGACAACCUGCGAUAAGCCCGGGGGAGCUGGACGUAAGCCUCGAUCCCGGGAUUUCCGAAUGGGGGAACCCGACAUGCUACAUGCAUGUCACCCUGCAGCCAACACAUAACUGCAGGGAGGCAACCCGGGGAACCGAAACAUCGAAGUACCCGGAGGAGAAGAAAGAGAGAUCGAUUCCGUGAGUAGUGGCGAGCGAAAGCGGAGGAGCCCGAAUGCGACAUCGGCGCGGGCUUCCGGAGGGGAAGCGCCUGGAACGGCGCGCCAUAGGGGGUGAAAGCCCCGUACCCGGAACGGAAGCGCGUGCGUCGCGAGAGAGUAAGACGGGACACGUGAAAUCCUGUCCGAAGACGCGGGGACCGCCCCGCAAGGCUAAAUACGGUCCGGCUACCGAUAGCGAACAAGUACCGUGAGGGAAAGGUGAAAAGCACCCCGGGAGGGGAGUGAAAGAGAUCCUGAAACCGCGUGCCGACGAGAUGGCGGAGGGCGUUAAAGCCUGACGCCGUGCCUAUUGAAGAAUGAGCCUGCGAGUCAGUGCAUGCAAGCGAGGCUAAGGCGAAGAGCCGGAGCCGCAGCGAAAGCGAGUCCGAACAGGGCGAUCCAGUUUGCAUGUCUGCACCCGAAACCCGGCGAUCUUGCCAUGACCAGGAUGAAGCAGGGGCGAAACCCUGUGGAGGUCCGCACCGACGUCCGUUGAAACGUCCGCGGAUGAGUUGUGGCACGUGGUGAAAUUCCAAUCGAGCCGGGUAAUAGCUGGUUCUCCCCGAAACAUCUUUAGGGAUGGCCUCGCGCAUGGACGGCGGAGGUAGAGCCACUGGACGUCGGGAGCCCGGGUGACCGGGUUUCCCGCCAGCCAAACUCCGAAUGCCGCCGUUCCCAAGCACGGGAGCCAGUCCUCGGGAGACAAGUUCCGAGGACGAGAGGGCAACAGCCCAGACCGCCGACAAAGGUCCCUAAGUCCACGCUGAGUGUGUAAGGAUGUGGAAACGCUAAGACAGCCAGGAUGUUGGCUCAGAGGCAGCCAUCAUUCAAAGAAUGCGUAACAGCUCACUGGUCAAGCGUCUCCGCGCCGAAAAUUUACCGGGGCUAAGCGUGGCACCGGAGUCGCGGGUGUGCAUACCCUGUAUGCACGCGGUAGGGGAGCGUAGAACGCGGGGCGAAGCCGGACCGAGAGGACCGGUGGACCGCGUUCUAGCGAGAAUGCAGGCGUAAGUAGCGAACGGGGGUGGGAAUCCCCCGCGCCGAAUGACUGAGGUCUCCAGGGCAAGGUUCGUCCUCCCUGGGUCAGCCGGGAGCUAAGGCGAGGCCGAAGGGCGCAGCCGAUGCACAUGGGGUCAAGAUUCCCCAGCCCGGGCAUGUCUUGCGUACGAGGUGACGGAUCGAGGGAGCGCGUGCCGGCCGACGGAUGAGCCGGUCCUCCGCAAGGAGGGGAGGAAACCAGGGAUGGGAGUACGAAGCGCGCGAACGAGGUCCCGGGAAAAGCCCCGUACGGCCGCAUGCCCGGCCCGUACCGAGAACGGACACACGUGGUCAGGUCGAGUAGACCGAGGCGAGCGAGAUAACUGUUGUUAAGGAACUCUGCAAAAUCGCCCCGUAAGUUAGCGAGAAGGGGCGCUCCCCUCCGGGGGAGCCGCAGUGAAUAGGCCCAGGUAACUGUUUACCAAAAACACAGCUCUAUGCGAAGGCGCAAGCCGAUGUAUAUGGGGUGAAGCCUGCCCGGUGCCGGAAGAUCAAGGGGAGGGGUCAGCCGCAAGGCGAAGCUCCGAGCCGAAGUCCCGGUGAACGGCGGCCGUAACUAUAACGGUCCUAAGGUAGCGAAAUUCCUUGUCAGGCAAGUUCUGACGCGCAUGAAUGGUAUAAUAAUCUGGGCGCUGUCUCGACAGCAGACUCGGCGAAAUCUUAAUCCCUGUGAAGAUGCAGGGUGCCCGCGACUAGACGGAGAGACCCCAUGGAGCUUCACUGCAGCUCGGCAUUGGGCGGCCGUGCGUCGUGCACAGGAUAGGUGGGAGACUUUGAAGCGGGGUCCUUGGAUCCCGUGGAGUCGCCGUUCGGAUACCACCCUCGGCACACGUCCGUCCUAACCGGAACCCUGGAAGGGUCCCGGGACAGUGCCCGGCGGGCAGUUUGACUGGGGCGGUCGCCUCCCAAAGAGUAACGGAGGCGCUCGAAGGUGCCCUUGGGCCGGUUGGGAACCGGCCUGUAAGCGCAAACGCAUAAGGGCGCCUGACUGCGAGGGGUACAUCCCGAGCAGGCUCGAAAGAGGGAGUUAGUGACCCGGCGGCACGCUGCGGAGCGGCCGUCGCUUAACGGACAAAAGCUACCCUGGGGAUAACAGGCUGAUCGGUUCCAAGAGUUCACUUCGACGAGCCGGUUUGGCACCUCGAUGUCGGCUCAUCGCAUCCUGGAGGGGCAGUCCCUUCCAAGGGUUAGGCUGUUCGCCUAUCAAAGCGGUACGCGAGCUGGGUUCAAAACGUCGUGAGACAGUUUGGUCCCUAUCUGUCGUGGGCGCAGGAGGCCUGCGGGAAGCCCCCCUCAGUACGCAAGGACCAGGGGGGACGGGGCUACGGUGUUGCGGUUGUCUCGCCAGAGGCAUGGCCGCGCAGCCGCCCCCGGACCGGAUAAACGCUGAGAGCAUCUAAGCGCGAAGCCGUUCCCAAGACUAGGCCUCCCACCGCGCAAGCGGGUAAGGGCACGGGUAAGCGACCCGUUCGAUGGACGUCCGGCGCAGGCAGCGCGAGCUGCAGAGCCGGGACGCUCCAAUAGCCCGAGGGCUCCUGUCC